rnacentral:rRNA from 1 species
UACGUAGGGUGCAAGCGUUAAUCGGAAUUACUGGGCGUAAAGCGUGCGCAGGCGGUUAUAUAAGACAGUUGUGAAAUCCCCGGGCUCAACCUGGGAACUGCAUCUGUGACUGUAUAGCUAGAGUACGGUAGAGGGGGAUGGAAUUCCGCGUGUAGGCAGUGAAAUGCGUAGAUAUGCGGAGGAACACCGAUGGCGAAGGCAAUCCCCUGGACCUGUACUGACGCUCAUGCACGAAAGCGUGGGGAGCAAACAGG